UACGUAGGGUGCGAGCGUUAAUCGGAAUUACUGGGCGUAAAGUGUGCGCAGGUGGCCGCGCAAGUCGGGUGUGAAAUCCCCGGGCUUAACUUGGGAAUUGCGCUCGAAACUACGUGGCUCGAGUGUGGCAGAGGAAGGUGGAAUUCCACGUGUAGCGGUGAAAUGCGUAGAGAUGUGGAGGAACACCGAUGGCGAAGGCAGCCUUCUGGGCCAACACUGACGCUCAUGCACGAAAGCGUGGGGAGCAAACGGG
rnacentral:rRNA from 1 species